GCCUUCGUGGUGUAAUGGUCAGCACACUCGGCGCGUAUUCUAGAGGUCCAAGGUUCGAGUCCCGGCGAGGGCA
rnacentral:tRNA from 1 species